rnacentral:rRNA from 1 species
AUGAACGCUAGCGAUAGGCUUAACACAUGCAAGUCGAGGGGCAGCAUGGUCUUAGCUUGCUAAGGCUGAUGGCGACCGGCGCACGGGUGCGUAACGCGUAUGCAACUUGCCUCACAGAGGGGGAUAACCCGUCGAAAGACGGACUAAUACCGCGUACACUCUAUGUUGGGCAUCCAAUGUAGAGGAAAUGAAAUUCGCUGUGAGAUAGGCAUGCGUCCCAUUAGCUAGUUGGUGAGGUAACGGCUCACCAAGGCGACGAUGGGUAGGGGAACUGAGAGGUUGAACCCCCACACUGGUACUGAGACACGGACCAGACUCCUACGGGAGGCAGCAGUGAGGAAUAUUGGUCAAUGGGCGAGAGCCUGAACCAGCCAAGUCGCGUGAAGGAUGACUGUCUUAUGGAUUGUAAACUUCUUUUAUACGGGAAUAACAAGAGUCACGUGUGGCUCCCUGCAUGUACCGUAUGAAUAAGCAUCGGCUAACUCCGUG